UGUGAAUAUAAGUUCAUAACGAUUAGGUGAAACUCCCUUAUAUUCUAGCGUUAAAUUCAUGCACGAAAAUUAAGCGUGCACUCUCAACCAACAUACACAAAUCAUUUUUUAUACGAUCGGAUAAGUAAAUUGAAUUCACAACUUAUGAAUCACAACUGGAUGUAAUCAAAUCAUAUUGCAAGUAUGAACAUGGUUUCGAAGCACCUCCUAACUAAGAGGGGUUUAGUCCCUCAUACUCACAAAGCAAAGAUACAUAAAAUUAGACAUUAAAAUCAAAGGAAAGAAAACA
rnacentral:lncRNA from 1 species